UAAUUGAGUUUCUGAGUUGCAUUUCCACAGCCAGCAUCAUCUAACACAAGCAGAGGAAAAACAGAGAAAUAAACCCUCGACAUGUUCUUUUUCAGGUAAAUAGUUCAGUAUGCAGGUUUUCAAUGGAACAAUACAUUCUGCACAAAGGGGUACCCUGUAUCAUUGAAGUGCCAAACACAAACAUCUCGAAAAACUGCACCUUCAUCCCUGGAGGCGUGAAUGGGUCGGCCAUUGAAAAUUUCUCCUGUGUGAUUUAUAAUGUUUCCCUCAUGAACUGCACUUGGCAGGCAGGCCGGGAAGCUCCAGGAGAUACCCAAUACUUCCUCUACUGGCAGUACUCAAGGUAAGUAGGUCUGCUGGAGUCUAGGGAAGUCUGCAUUCUCAUUUGACACAUCACCCUGCCCGUGCUUAACUAACGUACUUUGCUAUAAACAGAUCUGAUGACGCAAUGGAAUGUGAGCUUUACAUUAAAGACAAAAAUGGCAGAAACAUAGGAUGCAGAUUCAAAAAUGUGACGACAAAGCCUGGAAGUGCUUACUUCCUGGUGAAUGGCUCUAGCAAUGACUCCCAGAUCCAAUUCUAUGAUAAGUGCGUUAAGCUAUAUGAAAUUGGUAAGUAAACGAACAUUUUUAUUUUAUUACUGUUUUAUAAAAUAAGGAAGUGGGUAAUUUUUCUCUGAAGAGAAAGAUCAAUGUCUGUAGGCAUCACAGGAAUCUGCAGUGCAGGACAGACUUUGCUUCUGAUCGACAGAAUAUAGUUCCAAACAUUCACUAAAACUAGCAAAGAUAGAAGCAGCCUGAAAUAACAGCUUGAAGAGGUGGGGCAAACAUAUCCAUGGAAUCUAAGUGAUGAAAAGCAAUGGUUAGACUUUCAAUGCCACUUUUCUGAUGGGCUCAUUUCUCCAUCCCAUAUUUCCAUGCCUGAGAGUCACAAAAGGUACACGUCCUAAAACCAAAGGGAAAGUUCAACUUGCAAAUUAAGACUGCAUUAUUUAUGCGUUACCUGUGUGAGAGCUAGGUGUUUAAGCUCCGAUAGAGAUUGGGGACAGGAUUCAGUUGCCUAAAAACUUGGAUUACUAGUGCCAUUUGAGACAACCCCAGACAUCUGAAGCAUCCACAAGGCUUGCAGAUGUGGCCCAGGACCUGUGGGAGACCAAGGGGUCCUCCUGGGUGUCCUGUGUGGUCUGCAGUGCACAGUGUGAGACUGACUCCUGCAGAGCCGUUCAGCCGAGCAUGCCUACUCCAUGGUACGCCAAAUGGCUCUGCAGACAUCACGGGCCCUACUGAUGAGGUCUCCACUGACUGCAGUGGUUAGGCACUUAUGUCAUGGCUAAUCAUCUGUAUUGUA
rnacentral:lncRNA from 1 species